UCAGCCGCCGCGGUAAUACCAGCUCUCCGAGUGGUGUGGACGUUUAUUGGGCCUAAAGCAUCCGUAGCUGGCUGAACAAGUCCCCUGUUAAACCCACCGAUUUAAUCAUUGGCGUGCGGGGGAUACUGCUUGGCUAGGGGACGAGAGAGGCAGACGGUAUUCCCGGGGUAGGGGUGAAAUCCUAUAAUCCCGAGAAGACCACCAGUGGCGAAGGCUGUCUGCUAGAACGCGCCCGACGGUGAGGGAUGAAAGCUGGGGGAGCGAACCGGAUUAGAUACCCGGGUAGUCCCAGCUGUAAACGAUGCAGACUAGGUGUUUGGACGGCCACGUGCCGUUCUAGUGCCGCAGGGAAGCUGUUAAGUCUGCCGCCUGGGGAGUACGAUCGCAAGGUUGAAACUUAAAGGAAUUGGCGGGGGAGCACA
rnacentral:rRNA from 1 species